GUCAGGGAGGUGGGAUAGAAUGUUCUCGAACUGUACACCAGCGGUUUGCCCACAAACGCCUGUUAAUGAUUGGACUAAAAGGAAGUGCAAACGGGACUCUGAGAUGAUUUUGGAAAAUCACCAGGCUAAGAUUCUCUGGAACAGGGCUGGGAAAGGAGAGAAAUCAGAACAUUUGAAUAACGUGAGUCAUCUAGCCAUCCCGGACUACUGCCAAACUGUUCCCCUUAAUAAAAAUACCACAAAGCUCAAAGAGGAUAAAAUAGGCAUGUGGCUCUAGCUAGAGAGCUAAAGGGAAGAUGAAGAUCAACAAGGGAAGUGCGAAGUCAAACCAGGGGAGGAUGGAAGUUUUCAUGCACAAAUGUCAGCGUGUCUCCGGAGUUCUGCAGUCCGAGUCUAGCUCCACACCUGCCAUGCUGAGGGGUUCUGUAGAUGUUUACUUAUUAAACUGAAUGUUCGAGUACGAAUGUCCUUUGAAGCAAUUUGGAGUUAGAGCUCAAGGCUUGUGUGGCCCGGGGAGGUGUGAUUGGGCACCUGCAUCAAGGAAAGGCCACGUGAGGACACAACGUGAAGGCCCCGUCUACAAGCCAGGAAGGGCACCCUCACCAGACUUGACCAUGCUGAUAUUCUGAUCUCAGACUCUGCCUCCAGAACAGUGAGAAAUAAAUGUCUGUGGUUUGAGCCACCUGGCGUGUGCCACUGUGU